rnacentral:rRNA from 1 species
UACGUAGGUGGCAAGCGUUGUUCGGAAUUAUUGGGCGUAAAGGGCGCGUAGGCGGCUUUGUAAGUCAGUUGUGAAAGCCCGGGGCUCAACCCCGGAGGGUCGACUGAUACUGCAAGGCUAGAGUACGGAAGAGGUAGCUGGAAUUCCCGGUGUAGCGGUGAAAUGCGUAGAUAUCAGGAGGAACACCGGUGGCGAAGGCGGAUCUCUGGGCCAUUACUGACGCUGAGGAGCGAAAGCGUGGGGAGCGAACAGG